rnacentral:tRNA from 1 species
GAGGACGCCAAUACUAACCUGCUAACUUAGUACACCAGCAUUAAAAUGCUGGCAUCCUC